rnacentral:lncRNA from 1 species
UCAACUGUAAAUUCUACAAUUGGCAAUCCUUGUUCGAUGGUGAUUGGACACAGCUCAAAUUUGCUUUCAGCAGCGGGCUGUCCAGAAAGCUUUGAUGCAUAAGAUUGAUUGGAUCUAUGUCCAUUUUGGUUUUCUGUAAUGGUAUUAACAGCCUCUCCCACAGCCUCAGGCUGGGGAGAGGAUAUCACUUCCAUCGAUCAGAAUAUAAUCAGCAACAUGAAGUGAUGCAAACUAUACC